GUGACCUCAAAUCAGGUAGGACUACCCGCUG
rnacentral:rRNA from 1 species